GGCAGUCGUGGCCUAAUGGUUAGAGAGUCGGACUUGUAACCCAAAGGUCGUGGGUUCGAGUCUCAGGUCUGGCA